GGAGUUAGACAGAGUUUCAACACCACUGCCAACUUCAGGUUCUCUCUGCUUAGAAGAUUGGGAAAUGGGUUUGUUGGAGAUGUUGAUUGUGGUGCUGCUGAAGAUGCGAAGAGGCAGAGAUAGGAGCUGGAACACUGCCUUGAAGUUGCUACGCUCCUCAUAAACGUCUCUGCAGAGGGAGGUCCCAGGCAGAAGAAUCUCCAGCCUUCCAGCACAGAAUACAUCACUGCAAUUCUAAUUUCACAAAACAGAAAUCUGAUCCCCAUAUCCACAAGAUGAUGCCAACCUGCCCAGACAACAGACUGAUGGAGAGGAAGCCAGGGAUGUCAACAGGCUUUCCAUCUCAGACUCCGUGAAAUGGGGAGCAACCGUUCCUGCAAGGAUGCCAGCUCAUUGGGUUGAAAGGAAUGGUGCCGAUUAUAAUGUGUGUGGCCCCUGGGAUGCUGUCCAUGCUGCCUACUUAAGUGUGUUC